rnacentral:rRNA from 1 species
GACGAACGCUGGCGGCGUGCUUAACACAUGCAAGUCGAACGGAAAGGCCCUGCUUUUGUGGGGUGCUCGAGUGGCUAACGGGUGGGUAACACGUGAGUAACCUGCCCUUGACUUUGGGAUAACUUCAGGAAACUGGGGCUAAUACCGGAUAGGAGCUCCUGCUGCAUGGUGGGGGUUGGAAAGUUGCGGCGGUUGGGGAUGGACUCGCGGCUUAUCAGCUUGGUGGUGGGGUAGUGGCUUACCAAGGCUUUGACGGGUAGCCGGCCUGAGAGGGUGACAGGCCACAGUGGGACUGAGGUACGGCCCAGAGUCCUACGUGCGGCAGCGGUGGAGAAUAUUGGACAAUAGGCGGAAGCCGGAUGCAGCAACGCCGCGUGCGGAAUGACGGCCUUCGGGUUGUAAACCGCUUUCGCCUGUGACGAAGAGUGAGUGACGGUAAUGGGUAAAGAAGCACCGGCUAACUACGUG